rnacentral:rRNA from 1 species
CAGGUGUAGCAAUACAUGCUGACGAGCGGCGGACGGGUGAGUAAUGCUUCGGAAUCUACCUAGUAGUGGGGAAUAACUAACCGAAAGGUUAGCUAAUGCCGCAUACGACCUAUGGGUGAAAGCGGGGGAUCGUAAGACCUCGCGCUAUCAGAUGAGCCGAAGUCGGAUUAGCUAGUUGGUAGGGUAACGGCCUACCAAGGCGACAAUCCGUAGCUGGUCUGAGAGGACGACCAGCCACACUGGGACUGAGACACGGCCCAGACUCCUACGGGAGGCAGCAGUGGGGAAUAUUGGACAAUGGGGGCAACCCUGAUCCAGCGACGCCGCGUGUGUGAAGAAGGCCUGCGGG